UGGUACAGAUUCCUAUGUACAUUACUGAAUUAAUCCAUAAAUGAACCGUAAAACAGCCUUGCCCAUGUGAUGCAAAAAAUGAAUGGAAUGAGAAAAACAAAACACUAAUGAAGGAGCCUUUGGAACAUUAACAUACUGGGGAAUGGACAGAAGGAAAGUCCAGGCCCUCGGUGUCAAGCAGAAGGAGGGUGUGGUCUGGCUUCUCAGGAUGAGGCACACACCACAUCCAGAUGCCCUUGGUGUGAGACUGCACUGUGGAGCCCAGAGAGAAGCCUGCAGGGAGAGAGGAGAUAACAGGACUUGGAUUUAUUAAUACCAGAACAGAUGCUGAAACAUCAUCUCCUGUUAACUUGAAGCUGAAAGUGAAAGUAAAGCAGGCUACUUGGAAACAGGGUAAUACUGAGAAAUCAGCUGCUGCUUCUGACCAAUAAAGCCCCUUGUUUAUUUUAGGCAACCAAAAAGUUAUUCCAGGAACAAUCAAACCUUUCUGAGAAUUGUGUGUAAUGCCAAGAUAAAUAAAAGUGAAUGCCUUAUGCUUAUAAGCUUAUAAAAGCUUAUU